GCCUUCGUGGUGUAGUGGUCAGCAUGUUCGACGCGUAACUGAGAGAUCCGUGGUUCGAUUCCCGGCGAAGGCG
rfam:Stegodyphus mimosarum contig125849, whole genome shotgun sequence.